CGUGCCCCUGCAGCCAGCCAGGGGGAACCCCGUACGGCCCGACGUGCCCCUGCAGCCAGCCCCCGGGAGGGGCAGGCUAUGGGACGGCCCUUUAGAAAUUAGAAGAAAAAUUGCUUUAUUCAUGGACUGGAAAUGUUUUGCACAGAAUAGUUUAAAAAAUGUUAAGAUCGGUGCUGUUUUAAUGUAAUCAGGCUUCAGAGUAAAAUAAGUUGUAUGUAACUCGCAAGGAAUCAAGAACUACAUUAUGCUGCCUGGUGUGUAACACAGGAAAAAUUACAACUUUGUCAUCUGAAGGUUCAAGCCCAAAUCUUCACCCAGUGAAAAAAAAACUGAGGUUCUAUCGUUAUAUUCAAAGAGAGCAAAUCAUUAUGCACGGGAGAUCUCUGAAACAACCCCUGGAGGGCUUUAUCUGAUGAUGCUUUGCUGGGCAGUGAGGAGCUUUUAUUCGCAUCAGAGUCUAGAAACUGGAGACACCUUGUUGCAUGCAGAUAAUUGUCGAAAGUAAAUGGGAGAGAGAGAGAGAAAAGAGGUAGAUAAACUAUCUCCCCUUAUUUAUGAGCAUGUAAAGAAGACGAUUCUUUACACAUGAAUGUUUGGCCUAACAAAGCGAAUCCCAAAAUUUGGUAAAGAUUUAAGCCUGUGUAGCUUCACACACAUGAGCUUUGGGACACAAGCCUGUUAACAUGCAACAAAUGAAGCUUUUGCAAUUGCACAAUAUAUUCAAACCAAAUUGAGAAUUCUGAAAAAAGAAACAGCUGAGAUAUGAAUAUUUAAAAUUUUGCUGCAGCAGUGGACAUGUGUAAUAACUUUUCAAAGAGAUUUUCAGAGGAUUUUUUUUAAUCCUGUACACACAGCACUUGUCCUAAAUACAUAUUUACACGAUGGACUGGAAAAGCUCUUUUAGAAACUGUUCUGGUCUUCUGGGUAAAUAAUAUUCCUUUUAAAACAUUAUGAAAACAUAUUUUACUGAUACAUUAGAAUGGCUCUGUUAGACACAUCAUAAACAUUUUUUUAACUAUUUAGUGAAUAUGUUUACAGAAAAGUAUCCGGAUUGUUUAAUCUUCUGUAAUUUAUUUCUCAAUGCAGUUCUUUUGCAAUUUUUAGCUCCCUCUUAAAAUAAAGCCCAAAGAGUGCUUCUCCCUCCCCUUCUCUCAGUACUAUUUGAUGUGAAGCUAAGUAGAGGAAAUGGUAAAAGAAUAAUAGUAAUUAUUAUUUUUUGUCGGUACUGAUGUUAAAGCACAAUAUUCUGUACCUUACAUUAAUGGUUAUUGGUUCCUAAAGUUAUGGUAUUUAAAAACUUGCUAGCCAAAUUCUUUUGUCACUCUGGAGAGUUAGAAAAAUAGGAUGGGAUAGUCUUCCCCUCUGUCCCCAAACAGAAAAAAUAAAAUCCUGACUGAGCUGAGAGAAAGUAGUUGAGAGUUGGACACAUCUUUGUGAUGGUCCAGAAGUUAAUGCUACGACAGUGUUGGUUAAACUGGUUAAGAAGAAAGACAGUCUUGCUUUUUCCAUAGAGAAAAUAUCUUAAACAAAUCUGGAACAAAAAUGUGAGCAUUCAUAGGAAGAAAAACACUGAACAAAGCAUUUUGUCUCAUUUAUUUGCUUAUUUCUUUCAUGAAUAUUAACUUUUUUCAAUUCAUCUUUCCCACAAGAUGCAGAUUGCUGAGAGUUAGCCUUAAUAGGCAGCUAAGUCCCACCCACCUCCCACUCACCUUUCCCAAGCAGGAUGUGGGAGAGAAUCAGAAGAGUAAAACUGAGAAAACUCAUGGGAUAAGAUAAAGACAGUUUAAUGGGUAAAACAAAAGCUACGUGCACAAGCAAAGUAAAGUAAGGAAUUCAUUCUCUGUUUCUCAUUGGCAGGCAGAUGUACAGCCAUUUCCAGAAAAUUGAGGCUUCAUUAUGCAAAAUGGUGACUUGGAAAGACAAAUGCCUUUACUCUGUGUAUCAUCUCCUCUCUCUUUCCCUUUAGCUUUUAUGGCUGAGCUCUCAUGGUAUGGGCCAGCCAUUGGUCAUUUUAGGUCACCUGUCCUGGCUGUGUCCCCUCCCAACUUCUUGUUCCCCUCCAGCCUCCUUGCUGGCUGCUUGAGAAGCAGAAACAUCCUUGACUCUGUAAGCACUGCUCAGCAACAACUAAAAGUUGAAUCUAUUAUCAGCCCUUUUUAAAUAAAAAACAUAAAACAUAGCACCAUGAGAACUACUGUGAAGAAAAUUAGCUUUACCCCAGACAAAACCAUCACAAAAAAUACACCUGUUUAGACAGAGUUUGAAGCUAAAUGCUAUCUACUUAAAAUCACACACACAAGUACAGAAAGAAAAAAAAUAAAAUUACUUUCAGGACAGAAUUCUGAAAGAGAUUAGAAGUAAAUAUUUAAGUACUCAACAUUUGUAAUGGCAUCACAUUUUUUAUCAGUUCCAGCUCCAUUUAGACACCUACAGAAGAACUAAGAUCUUCAAAAUGCUCCUUAGCCAACAGUACCCGUAAUUAUGUUUUAUAGUCAUUUUCAAAAGCACUCAGUGUUCAAAGAGCUUCUGGAAAUCUGGCCCCAGCUGUGAGCAGUGACCCCUUCUGAAAGUCUGUAGGGAUCUGGCAUGAAGGCAUACGGAACAUUGCAUUUAGUUGAGGGAAUCUUAAUUACCAAAAACAUAUUGACAAAUUAGAGAGUGUUCAGAGAAGAGAAACAAAAAUGGUCAGGGGACCAAAGGAAUUUACAUAUGAGGGAAGAUAAAAAGAGCUAUAUAUGUAUGGUUCAGCCAUGAGGUAAUUAAGAGAGGAUAUAUGUUAAGACUCUACAAGUGUUCCUAAUCUUUCUUUUGUGGAGAAUGUAGAGGAACAAAUUAAGUGGGAUAUGAAGUUAUAACAAGAGCACCAAAUAAAGAAGAUAAGGCAAAAAAAAAAAAAAUCUGGAUCUUGAAAACAGCACCCUGGCAGGGAAAACAGGCUGUGAAACACUGUCCAAGGGGACAAAGUCCCCAUUAGGGUCCUGUGAAAGUUUACAAGUGCCGUACAGCUUUAAAUGCUCCAGAGAUGCCUGUUCAGAUUCCACUUUCAAAAUACAUAGAAAUCUGGGGUAGUUCUGCUGAUUGGAAAUUACUUUUGAAAUAACUGUGCUUGCUCUGAUUGGAUUAGCAUACAUUCCUGGAGAGAACCAAAAACUGAGCAAACUGUGCCCAAUCUGGUGUUCAACAGGUAGCAUACCACGUACUGGCACCAGCACUGAAUCACAACGGAGACACAGAGCAACUGGAGGUUAGAAAAAAUUAGUUGUACUGAGAAAGAAGCACAAGUAUGUACACUAGAGGAACUCACCUAUGGGAAAAGUGCAAAUGUAAGAAAACAGGUAGAGAGGCCAGUAACUUCAGGGGAAAGCACCCAACUAAAGUUUUUCAAGCUAAAUCAGAGCACUUUUCAGAGACUGUCAUGUUCCUAAGGCACAUUGUAUUGUUACUUCAAAAAAAGCAAAAAAUUCUGGCGGAGAAAUCCAGAGCAUACAUAAUGGCAGAUUUUGGUGGAGCACGUAAGACUCAGUGCUAUAAAGUGCAGAUCAAUGCCUUGGAUGCAGUGAAUCAGGUUUAAGAGAGGUAUGACUGAAACAACUGCAGUCAUUGCACUUCCUCAGCAUAAUGCAUGGUCAACAAUACUUGCAGCCUUUCACCAGGAGGCAAAUCUAGCUGUGGAUGUGCAGCCACACUUCACAUCAAUCUCCUUGAAGAGUCUAGAGAAAACUACAUUCAGAAAGAGAAAGGGAGAUUCUCAUUUCUGCCCAUAAUACUUGAAGCAGGGCUGUUCUUUGAAAUGUCCUCUUGUAUAUUUGCCUCUCAGGCACUAAUCCAGCAAUGAGAACGGCACAGUGACCCUGAGGCAGGGCAGUGCCAUGGGGCAUUACUGAGGUUCUGCAAGAUGCUGAAGUUGUAUGUGUGGCACUUCUAGCAGUGUGUUGGCAAUAGCUUUACUUGCAUUCAUGGAAAAGCAAAGCCAGGUCAGAUAAAUGUCUGCAUUAUGCAUGAUCCACGGAGGAAAAAAAAGUCUAAAGUAAUUGAAUGGCAUAUAAAGGUGGACUCAGUAUUCAGACUGAGGAUCAGAUUUUUAUUUUUAAGUGUCUUUUGGUGGGAGGACUCUAGCUUCAGCUAUUUUGAAAGAAUGGAACCUUUAUUCUAGAUCCAGCUUCAAAAAAGGACAGUUUUGGCAGGGUACUAAAGAAGAAGCUAAGGAGAUUAGACAAAAUAGAUAGAUCAUAACAUUCUGAAGCAUUUUUGACAGUGAGUUUUUAUUCAGUUCUUCCUCUCCUACCUUGGCAAAUUCUAUAAUCAAUACAAAUAAAUUUUCCUCAUCAGAGAAUAACCCCAACCCAUGGAACCGACUGCUGCACGAGGUCAUUGAGUCAGAUACUACAGUUAGAUUUUAAAAAGGGCUGAAUACAUUUUAUGACCAAACAACAUCUGUACAGUCAUCCAAGCUAAGAUAAUGGUGAUGAAAUUUCAUGCUUGAGUGUGUAAAAUGAUUGCUACAUCACUCAGAAAGGAUUUUUUUCUUCUCAGGUUGAGGAUUACACAAUUGAGAAGAUACAGUAUAGAAAGGUUUCUGGGCUUGAGUUUUUGGUUUUAUUAUAACUUUCUCCAAAGAGUGAAAGUUCAGCUCAUGGACCUUAGAGAGCAAUGACUUAACCUGCUGCAUCUUCCCUUCUUAAGUAUAAUGAAGCUCUUAGAUGAGAUGUUUCAUUUCAGGUCCUCCAAGUUUCUUUCCUUCCCUCCAUGCUAUCUGCUCUCAGAUGCACGUAAAAUUACUGAAGCAAAUCUCAGCAGCUGUUAUGACCAGGGAACCACAGAAGUGGGAGGGAAAGCCAAACACCAAAUAAGUUAGCUAAGAAUACCAAAAGAAGUUCCUACCAACAUCUGAAAAACCUGCCUUGCUCUCGUUGAGUAUUCAUCUACCUCCCCUUCUCUUUCUGUAUCCUUUUCAUCUGCCUGCCCACAAGAUUUGGAACACCAUUAAUUGGUCCUCAGGGAGGCUGACAGGCUUGCACUUUUAUGACUUGAUUCUUUGUAUUGUACACAUGUGGGCAUCUCUCAGGAGAUAAACAAAGGGAAAACGUAUGGAAAAAGGGGGCAGAAUUUGUUUAAGACUAAACACAGAACAAACCACCUCUUCAAUUUACUGCUAAUAUCCUAAAUUGCAUGAAUAAUAAAUCCUCCCCCUCUCUAUUUUCUGUCUUCCACACGUCUCCUUUUCUUAACCUGCUUUUCCUGAUCGCUACAGGCUCGUCUUCUGAGGAAUUCCACCUCCUAUUUGAAAUCAAACAGCCUAACUCCUUUUUUUUCUUUGCCCCCCCCUUCAACUCCCCCUUCUCCCUCCCCCUUGCCAACAAAAGAGUGAGGUGGUCUUAUGGGAAGAUAAAAAGAAUAGUUGAUCAUAAGAACUAACCUGGAGCCAACACCUUGGUCUUUCGUCCCUUCAGCAGUUUCUAAACUCGAAGCACCUGCAGCUAAUUCUCAUGGCUUCCAGCCUUGGUCUAGGAUUCACUGAGAAUGAGAGGAUUUUUGGCAAAGCUUUCAGCGCUCAGGAAAAAUAAGCCUAACAUAUUCAGACACACAGGCAAGCACAGGCACAAGCACACACCUAUGGUUUAGCUUUUUGUAUCUGGAAAAAAAAGGAGAUGUAUGUUAUCUCUGUACUACAUGGAGGUAACCACCAUUUUUAAGAAUGUGCAAUAGUAACCUUCACUAUAAAAGAAUACCAUGCCAGAUAUUCCGGCAUUUUAUUUAUUUAUUUAUUUAUUGGGGGGAGGGGGGUUAUUUUCCAUUUACCAGUAAAAUAGACAUGAAACAUUUUUUCACCAAAACUGGAAGUUUGCAAAGCAAUUUCUUGACCAAAAUCCUCUUUGCUUUACUUAUAGCAUCUUUAGUAGAGAGAUAAGGAUCUAUCCUUCUCUGGGAUCUGAAAAGCACUGUGAAUCUGUAGGGUAGAUUCACAACUGGAAGGCAGAUCCCUGAGUGCUUUUGUGUACACUGUUGCACCUCCUAAAAAUUCAGUUCUUAGUCUUGCACGGUAAAACAACAUAGGUAGAAUGGGACUUUGGAAUCAGAAUC